rnacentral:misc_RNA from 1 species
GGAUAUAUGGAUUUUAUGAUGAAUGCAAGCGGCGGUUUAAUGUGAGGCUUUGGAAAUUCUUUACUGACUGUUUCAACUAUCUUCCUGUUGCGGCUCUAGUAGAUGAUAAAAUAUUGUGCAUGCAUGGUGGUCUUUCCCCUGAUUUGACAAAUUUGGAUCAAAUUUCAAAUUAGAAAUUUACCUNNNNNNNNNNCGACCAACUGCAGUUCCAGACACUGGUUUACUAUGUGAUUUGCUCUGGUCAGAUCCUGGUAGAGAUGUUAAAGGUUGGGGAAUGAAUGACAGAGGAGUUUC